GACGAACGCUGGCGGCGUGCUUAACACAUGCAAGUCGAACGGUGAAGGGAAGCUUGCUUCCCGGAUCAGUGGCGAACGGGUGAGUAACACGUGGGCAAUCUGCCCCAGACUUUGGGAUAACUACUCGAAAGAGUAGCUAAUACCGAAUAUUCAGCCUUGCAGGCAUCUGCGAGGCUGGAAAGUUUCUCGGUCUGGGAUGAGCCCGCGGCCUAUCAGCUAGUUGGUGAGGUAAUGGCUCACCAAGGCGACGACGGGUAGCCGGCCUGAGAGGGCGACCGGCCACACUGGGACUGAGACACGGCCCAGACUCCUACGGGAGGCAGCAGUGGGGAAUAUUGCGCAAUGGGCGAAAGCCUGACGCAACAACGCCGCGUUGCGGGAUGAAGGCCUGGUUGUAACG
rnacentral:rRNA from 1 species